rnacentral:lncRNA from 1 species
CGGGCCGGAGGGGGAAUACGGGCCGGAGGGGGGAAUACGGGCCGGAGGAAGGAGGAGGGAAUACGGGCCGGAGGGGGGAAUACGGGCCGGAGGAAGGAGGAGGGAAUACGGGCCGGAUAUUUCUGGUAAUGAAGGGAGGAGUGUCUGUCCAUAGUUUUUGUUAACUUACUGUGAAGAUUCUAAAUUCAUGUUUAGUCAAAACAGCCCAUGUUUUUGGGAUAUUUAUUAUUAUUAUUACAUGAAUAGCAGCUCUAUGUAUUUAUUAUCAGCCCAUGUUGUUGUACUUUACAUGAAUAGCAGCAAUAUGUAUUAUUUAUCAGCCCAUGUUGUUGUACUUUACAUGAAUAGCAGCUAUAUGUAUUAUUUAUCAGCCCAUGUUGUUGUACUUUACAUGAAUAGCAGCUCUGUGUAUUUAUUAUCAGCCCAUGUUGUUGUACUUUACAUGAAUAGCAGCUCUGUGUAUUUAUUAUCAGCCCAUGUUGUUGUACUUUACAUGAAUAGCAGCUCUGUGUAUUUAUUAUCAGCCCAUGUUGUUGUACUUUACAUGAAUAGCAGCUAUAUAAUGUUAUUUAUUAUCAGCCCAUGUUGUUGUACUUUACAUGAAUAGCAGCUCUGUGUAUUUAUUAUCAGCCCAUGUUGUUGUACUUUACAUGAAUAGCAGCUCUGUGUUAUUUAUUAUCAGCCCAUGUUGUUGUACUUUACAUGAAUAGCAGCUCUGUGUAUUUAUUAUCAGCCCAUGUUGUUGUACUUUACAUGAAUAGCAGCUAUAUGUAUUAUUUAUCAGCCCAUGUUGUUGUACUUUACAUGAAUAGCAGCUCUGUGUAUUUAUUAUCAGCCCAUGUUGUUGUACUUUACAUGAAUAGCAGCUCUGUGUAUUAUUUAUCAGCCCAUGUUGUUGUACUUUACAUGAAUAGCAGCUAUAUGUAUUAUUUAUCAGCCCAUGUUGUUGUACUUUACAUGAAUAGCAGCUCUGUGUUAUUUAUUAGUGAAACGUGUUUGACCUUGUGAUUGUUCUUUAGCUGCCUAGCGUAGUAGUAUAUAGGUCAACUAGAACUGCUUCUGAAAUGGCUUAUUCCCUAUAUAGUGCACUACUUUUAAGCAGAGCCCUACGGGCCCUGGUAGGGGGCCAUUUCAGAAGCAGACUAGUUUUCACUAGGGUUGGUUGUGUGUUUUUGGAUGUGUGCAGUGUAACAGGGAGUUAUUAUAGGCUUCAAUGGGACUGAAGGGACACCAGUGGUACCAUAAAGUUACAUCAAUGUGAUGACCAGACAGUCAGGUAUUAGAGGUUAGGGGUCAGAGGUUAGGGGGGCGGGGUGAUGACCAGACAGUCAGGUAUUAGAGGUUAGGGGGGGGGUGAUGACCAGACAGUCAGGUAUUAGAGGUUAGAGGUUAGGGGGGGGGGUGAUGACCAGACAGUCAGGUAUUAGAGGUUAGGGGUCAGAGGUUAGAGGGGCGGGGUGAUGACCAGACAGUCAGGUAUUAGAGGUUAGGGGUCAGAGGUUAGGGGGGGGGGGGUGAUGACCCUCUGUGUUUACUGUGAACAAGGAGAGGCGUUUCUGUGAUUGAUUGUUUUGUGGUUUAUAUAAGUUGGGUGUUUACUGAGGAUUCUGUUAAAUUCACUUCCUGUUGUACUGAUGAGGCUGUUGUCUGGUCCAUGUCUCAUUAUAUCAUUCCUAGAGGAGUAAUGUAUUAUAACAUCUCAUUAUCAUUCCUAGAGGAGUAAUGUAUUAUAACAUGUCUCCAUUAUCAUUCCUAGAGGAGUAAUGUAUUAUAACAUCUCAUUAUCAUUCCUAGAGGAGUAAUGUAUUAUAACAUCUCAUUAUCAUUCCUAGAGGAGUAAUGUAUUAUAACAUAAUGUCUCCAUUAUCAUUCCUAGAGGAGUAAUGUAUUAUAACAUGUCUCAUAUCAUUCCUAGAGGAGUAAUGUAUUAUAACAUCUCAUUAUAUCAUUCCUAGAGGAGUAAUGUAUUAUAACAUCUCAUUAUCAUUCCUAGAGGAGUAAUGUAUUAUAACAUGUCUCCAUUAUCAUUCCUAGAGGAGUAAUGUAUUAUAACAUGUCUCCAUUAUCAUUCCUAGAAGGGUAAUGUAUUGUAACAUAUGUUCUGUGCUACUGUUGUUGUGGUGAAUCUGUGAUUACCCCCCCAUACACACAGGUAUGUUUCCACUUUUCAGGAUAUUGUAAAUAAAGACGCUGCCUAAACAUUGCUCAGGGUGAGUCCCAGUCUGUAUGCUGCCUAGGACUCUAUUCAGUCUGCA